rnacentral:tRNA from 2 species
GCCGCGAUGGUCUAGUGGUAUGAUUCUCGCUUAGGGUGCGAGAGGUCCCGGGUUCAAUCCCCGGUUGCGGCC